rnacentral:rRNA from 1 species
AUUGAACGCUGGCGGCAGGCUUAACACAUGCAAGUCGAGCGGGGUGAUGGUGCUUGCACUAUCACUUAGCGGCGGACGGGUGAGUAAUGCUUAGGAAUCUGCCUAUUAGUGGGGGACAACAUCUCGAAAGGGAUGCUAAUACCGCAUACGUCCUACGGGAGAAAGCAGGGGAUCACUUGUGACCUUGCGCUAAUAGUGGAGCCUAAGUCGGAUUAGCCAGUUGGUGGGGUAAAGGCCUACCAAGGCGACGAUCUGUAGCGGGUCUGAGAGGAUGAUCCGCCACACUGGGACUGAGACACGGCCCAGACUCCUGCGGGAGGCAGCAGUGGGGAAUAUUGGACAAUGGGGGGAACCCUGAUCCAGCCAUGCCGCGUGUGUGAAGAAGGCCUUAUGGUUGUAAAGCACUUUAAGCGAGGAGGAGGCUCUUUUGGUUAAUACCCAAGAUGAGUGGACGUUAAUCGCAGAAUAAGCACCGGCUAACUCUGUGCCAGCCGCCGCGGUAA